CGCUGUUCCGAUCUUGCCGAUGUACUUCUGUCAAGCAUAAGAUUGACGUCGGAGAGAGUUCACCAAUUAAACAAGCUCCUCGAAGACUCGCUCUCAACGCCCGAGAAGAGGUGAAGAAGCUUGUGGAAGACAUGCUAAAGAACGAU